ACACGUAGGGGGCAAGCGUUGUCCGGAAUUACUGGGCGUAAAGGGCGUGUAGGCGGCCGAUCAAGUCAGGUGUGAAAUUUCAGGGCUCAACCCUGAGCGUGCACUUGAAACUGGUAGGCUUGAGUGCAGAAGAGGAAAGUGGAAUUCCCAGUGUAGCGGUGAAAUGCGUAGAUAUUGGGAGGAACACCAGUGGCGAAGGCGACUUUCUGGGCUGCAACUGACGCUGAGGCGCGAAAGCUAGGGGAGCAAACAGGAUUAGAUACCCUGGUAGUCCUAGCCGUAAACGAUGGGUACUAGGUGUAGGGGGUUUAGACGCCCUCUGUGCCGCAGUUAACACAUUAAGUACCCCGCCUGGGGAGUACGGCCGCAAGGCUGAAACUCAAAUGAAUUGACGGGG
rnacentral:rRNA from 1 species